CGAACGGGUGAGUAACACGUGGGCAACCUGCCCUCAGCUCUGGGAUAACUCCGGGAAACCGGUGCUAAUACUGGAUAUCAACUUCUGCUCGCAUGGGUGGUUGUUGAAAGUUUUUCGGCUGGGGAUGGGCCCGCGGCCUAUCAGCUUGUUGGUGGGGUAAUGGCCUACCAAGGCGACGACGGGUAGCCGGCCUGAGAGGGCGACCGGCCACACUGGGACUGAGACACGGCCCAG
rnacentral:rRNA from 1 species